CAGGUUGUUACCGUUUCAAUAUCUCGUAACAAAGGCCGGGUCUAUCGGUAACGAAAACCCG
rnacentral:sRNA from 2 species